rnacentral:rRNA from 1 species
GAUGAACGCUGGCGGCGUGCCUAAUACAUGCAAGUCGAGCGAACAGACGAGGAGCUUGCUCCUCUGACGUUAGCGGCGGACGGGUGAGUAACACGUGGAUAACCUACCUAUAAGACUGGGAUAACUUUGGGAAACCGGAGCUAAUACCGGAUAAUAUAUUGAACCGCAUGGUUCAAUAGUGAAAGACGGUUUUGCUGUCACUUAUAGAUGGAUCCGCGCCGCAUUAGCUAGUUGGUAAGGUAACGGCUUACCAAGGCGACGAUGCGUAGCCGACCUGAGAGGGUGAUCGGCCACACUGGAACUGAGACACGGUCCAGACUCCUACGGGAGGCAGCAGUAGGGAAUCUUCCGCAAUGGGCGAAAGCCUGACGGGGCAACGCCGCGUGAGUGAUGAAGGUCUUCGGAUCGUAAAACUCUGUUAUUAGGGAAGAACAAAUGUGUAAGUAACUAUGCACGUCUUGACGGUACCUAAUCAGAAAGCCACGGCUAACUACGUG